GGAUGAACGCUAGCUACAGGCUUAACACAUGCAAGUCGAGGGGAAACGAUAUUGGAAGCUUGCUUCCGAUAGGCGUCGACCGGCGCACGGGUGAGUAACGCGUAUCCAACCUGCCCAUCACUUGGGAAUAACCUUGCGAAAGUAAGACUAAUGCCCAAUGACAUUUAUAGAAGGCAUCUGAAAUGAAUUAAAGAUUUAUCGGUGAUGGAUGGGGAUGCGUCUGAUUAGCUUGUUGGCGGGUAACGGCCACCAAGGCGACGAUCAGUAGGGGUUCUGAGAGGAAGGUCCCCCACAUUGGAACUGAGACACGGUCCAAACUCCUACGGGAGGCAGCAGUGAGGAAUAUUGGUCAAUGGGCGAGAGCCUGAACCAGCCAAGUAGCGUGCAGGAUGACGGCCCUAUGGGUUGUAAACUGCUUUUAUAAGGGAAUAAAGUGAGCCUCGUGAGGCUUUUUGCAUGUACCUUAUGAAUAAGGACCGGCUAAUUCCGUG
rnacentral:rRNA from 1 species